rnacentral:rRNA from 1 species
CUCCUACGGGAGGCAGCAGUGGGGAAUAUUGCACAAUGGGCGGAAGCCUGAUGCAGCAACGCCGCGUGCGGGAUGACGGCCUUCGGGUUGUAAACCGCUUUCGCCUGUGACGAAGCGUGAGUGACGGUAAUGGGUAAAGAAGCACCGGCUAACUACGUGCCAGCAGCCGCGGUGAUACGUAGGGUGCGAGCGUUGUCCGGAUUUAUUGGGCGUAAAGGGCUCGUAGGUGGUUGAUCGCGUCGGAAGUGUAAUCUUGGGGCUUAACCCUGAGCGUGCUUUCGAUACGGGUUGACUUGAGGAAGGUAGGGGAGAAUGGAAUUCCUGGUGGAGCGGUGGAAUGCGCAGAUAUCAGGAGGAACACCAGUGGCGAAGGCGGUUCUCUGGGCCUUUCCUGACGCUGAGGAGCGAAAGCGUGGGGAGCGAACAGGCUUAGAUACCCUGGUAGUCCACGCUGUAAACGGUGGGUACUAGGUGUGGGGUCCAUUCCACGGGUUCCGUGCCGUAGCUAACGCUUUAAGUACCCCGCCUGGGGAGUACGGCCGCAAGGCUAAAACUCAAAGGAAUUGACGG